rnacentral:tRNA from 1 species
GGGGUCACACAUCACGUCAUGUGGAGAGACUAGGUGACUGUAAAUCACUGGCUUAGGCUGUGGGGGUUCGACUCCCUCUGGCCCCACCA